AGUACUAGAGUCUCCGGCUUCGCUCACGCGCCUUGGGCAUAAGAGUCCUCUCGUUGGUCCCGGAGGUGGGGUUGCGCUCACAAGGGGCGACCGUCGCCACGGUGGCGGCCACUGCAUCGCGUCCCACCUCCGCGGCCCUGGGCGCCGUGGUGUCGACGGGCCCCGAGCCUAUGACGGGCCAGGGCCAGUCGGCGUCCGGGUCGUCGGCGUGGAGCACGGUAUUCCGCCACGUCCGGUAUGAGAACCUGAUAGCGGGCGUGAGCGGCGGCGUCUUAUCCAACCUUGCGCUGCAUCCGCUCGACCUCGUGAAGAUCCGCUUCGCCGGAACAAUCCUGUGAGUUUAUGAUAUCUGCUAUACAGAUGAGGAUAACAGAAGUUGACUAACUUGCCCAAGUCACAAGUUUGUAAAGAUGGAUCUGGGAUUUAAACCCAGUGAGUGAUGGAUUGGAACUGAGACCGAAAUAUAAUGGAAUUUUACAUUGCUUGACUACCAUUUGGAAACUUGAUGGACUACGGGGACUUUAUCAAGGAGUAACCCCAAAUAUAUGGGGUGCAGGUUUAUCCUGGGGACUCUACUUUUUCUUUUACAAUGCCAUCAAGUCAUAUAAAACAGAAGGAAGAGCUGAACGUUUAGAGGCAACAGAAUACCUUGUCUCAGCUGCUGAAGCUGGAGCCAUGACCCUCUGCAUUACAAACCCAUUAUGGGUAACAAAAACUCGCCUUAUGUUACAGUAUGAUGCUGUUGUUAACUCCCCACACCGACAAUAUAAAGGAAUGUUUGAUACACUUGUGAAAAUAUAUAAGUAUGAAGGUGUGCGUGGAUUAUAUAAGGGAUUUGUUCCUGGGCUGUUUGGAACAUCGCAUGGUGCCCUUCAGUUUAUGGCAUAUGAAUUGCUGAAGUUGAAGUACAACCAGCAUAUCAAUAGAUUACCAGAAGCCCAGUUGAGCACAGUAGAAUAUAUAUCUGUUGCAGCACUAUCCAAAAUAUUUGCUGUCGCAGCAACAUACCCAUAUCAAGUCGUAAGAGCUCGUCUUCAGGAUCAACACAUGUUUUACAGUGGUGUAAUAGAUGUAAUCACAAAGACAUGGAGGAAAGAAGGCGUCGGUGGAUUUUACAAGGGAAUUGCUCCUAAUUUGAUUAGAGUGACUCCAGCCUGCUGUAUUACCUUUGUGGUAUAUGAAAACGUCUCACAUUUUUUACUUGACCUUAGAGAAAAGAGAAAGUAAGCUCAAAGAGGACAAUUCCAGUAUAUCUGCCCAAGGCAGCAACAAGCUCUUUUGUGUUUAAGGCAUAAAAGAAGAAUUCUGCAUAGAAACAUGGCUCAUAUUCGAAAUUGCUCUAUAGUCAUUAGAAGCCAGAGAACUGCUAAGUCUCCUGCAAUGUUUUUCUUGCUUUUUGCCUUCCCCAUAUAUAUGGAACUUGGCUACCUCUGCCUGAAAUGGCUGCCAUCAACACAAUGUUAAAACUGACACGAAGGAUAGAGUUUCACAGAUUUCUACGUUUUAUUGGUGGAAGCUGAUUUGCAACAUUUGCUAAAUGGAUUAGAUGAAUGUACUUCUUUUUGUGAGCUUACUUGCCUGGAUUGCUUUAAAAUUAACCUUUGUGCAAUACCAAGAAAAUAGCUCUUUAAAAGAAUGUCUUUGUAUGUCUCAAGGUAAAUUAAGGAUUUACUGAAUAAGGUGUUGACCAAAUCCAGACCAUUUUAUUUUAUUUUUUUAUUUAUUUAUUUUUUGAGAUGGAGUCUUGCUUUGUCGCCCAGGCUGGAGUGCAGUGGCGUGAUCUCAGCUCACUGCAACCUCCACCUCCCGGGUUCACGCCAUUCUCCUGCCUCAGCCUCCUGAGUAGCUGGGACUACAGGCACCUGCCACCACGCCUGGCUAACUUUUUUUUAUAUUUUGAGUAGAAAUGGGGUUUCACCAUGUUAGCCAGGAUGGUCUCAAUCUCCUGACCUUGUGAUCCGCCUGCCUUGGCCUCCCAAAGUGCUGGGAUUACAGGCGUGAGCCACUGCGCCUGGCCAGACCAUUUUAGAAUUGGGAAAUUUUAGUGAGAAAAAAUGCACUGUAAAUAUGCUUUAGUUUUAAUUCAGUUGGGAUGCACUACCUAGCGAAAAUUGAGAAACUAUAUACUUCUCAGAGAAAUAUCUGACAUCUAUUGUCAUUCCAUUGCUAUUUUUUUUCCCCAGAGACUUCCAUAAUUUAAAAUAAAAUCCUAGAUCCAGUUCUUGUUUUUUGGCAUAAAUACUUAAUCUAUUUUAAAUUUAUAAAAUCUGAGCUUCUAGGAUCCAGCUGUGUCAACCUUUAUUUAGCAUAUAUAACUAUAAAUCACUUAUUACAGAUGCUAAAUAGAUCACCUUUUACAGAUGCUGAAAUGUUUGGGAUAUGUUUGUUGACAAGGUAAAUGGAAAUGAGAAACUUUAUACUUCAGUUUUCAGAUAUAUGGAUCUAGAUCCCAAAUAAAUGAUUAAUCUUCAUUGGUUUCUCAAAUUCAGGUUGAAAUACAAAUUAAUAGCCUUUAUUGAUUUUACUUUUAUGAGUCAUUGUAGACAUCUAUAAAUAUAAAAGGGCCUGUACCCAAAGGAUGCCAGAAUACUAGUAUUUUUAUUUAUCGUAAACAUCCACGAGUGCUGUUGCACUACCAUCUAUUUGUUGUAAAUAAAAGUGUUGUUUUCAAAGCCAUCUUUAAAUAGUUCUUUAAAAAUAGGUCUUUUUUUUAUAUUUUGGAAAAGGCAUUGUUUUUAAAGUAAAGAUAAAAUGGUAAGUACCUAAUUGUAUUUACUGUAAUAUCUUAUAACAUGCAGAUGAAUGCUUUAUAAGUUAAAUAUGAUGUAUUUUUUCAUACUUCUGGAUUAUACUAUAAUUCAUAUGAAAUCUUGAUAUUAGUCCCCACACGGAAAAAGUGAACUGCAGUUGAUAUUUGGUGUUUAAGAUAGCACCAUUGUUUAAAUACCGCCUAUGUACUCCCAAAUGAAUAAAACAUAAUUCUUGUCCUCUGAGAGCAUA